rnacentral:rRNA from 1 species
UACGUAGGGGGCUAGCGUUGUCCGGAAUCAUUGGGCGUAAAGCGCGUGUAGGCGGCCCGGUAAGUCCGCUGUGAAAGUCGGGGGCUCAACCCUCGGAUGCCGGUGGAUACUGUCGGGCUCGAGUACGGAAGAGGCGAGUGGAAUUCCUGGUGUAGCGGUGAAAUGCGCAGAUAUCGGGAAGAACACCCGUGGCGAAGGCGGCUCUCUGGGACGGUACUGACGCUGAGACGCGAAAGCGUGGGGAGCGAACAGG